rnacentral:lncRNA from 1 species
AGGUCCUACUCAAGUGGAUAUCGGUAGAGGCCAGACACUUGCGUGGCUACAUCAGAACCUCAGGCUGUGCUAAGAUCAUCUACAGGGUAAUCAGAUUGCCCUUGAGGUAUGUCUAUACUUCUCAUAUUUUUAGAUUUAAUUUUAAAUUUUAAAUAUUAGAUAAUAAAAUUAGAUCUAACAGACAUUAGAUCUAAAAUAGCAUGGGAUAAAAAUUUUAAAUUAUUUCGCCCCAGAUUUGAUGAAAUCUGGAAGAUUCUACAAAGGAAAAAGGUGGUUUUUCCUUUAAUACUAGCAUAAGAUCAAUUUUAAAUUACCAAAACUUUUAUGUUUAAGAUAAAUAGUAGAUUAUACAUAUCUUAAAAAAUCAAUGGCUCUGAUACUAUUGUUAGAAAAUCGGAUAAGAUGCAUGUAUAGAUUUUAAAAUUUUUUU